rnacentral:rRNA from 2 species
CUUGCUCUGGCUGGAUUAGUGGCGAACGGGUGAGUAACACGUGAGCAAUCUGCCCCUGACUCUGGGAUAACUUCGAGAAAUCGAUGCUAAUACCGGAUACGACCCUUCCAGGCAUCUGGUGAGGGUGGAAAGAACUUUGGUCAGGGAUGAGCUCGCGGCCUAUCAGCUAGUUGGUGAGGUAAUGGCUCACCAAGGCGACGACGGGUAGCCGGCCUGAGAGGGUGACCGGCCACACUGGGACUGAGACACGGCCCAGACUCC